rnacentral:rRNA from 1 species
AGCGAACGUUAGCGGCGGGCCUAACACAUGCAAGUCGAGCGAGAAAGGGGCUUCGGCCCCGAGUACAGCGGCGGACGGGUGAGGAACACGUAGGUAAUCUGCCCUUCGAUGGAGGACAACGGUCCGAAAGGACCGCUAAUACUGCAUACGUUCCUCGGGUCCUCGGGCCUGAGGAGGAAAGCCUCGCAAGGGGCGUCGGAGGAGGAGCCUGCGUCGCAUCAGCUAGUUGGUGGGGUAAUGGCCUACCAAGGUGAAGACGCGUGACUGGUCUGCGAGGAUGAUCAGCCCCACUGGGACUGAGACACGGCCCAGACUCCUACGGGAGGCAGCAGUGGGGAAUAUUGGACAAUGGGCGAAGGCCUGAUUCAGCCACGCCGCGUGAGUGAUGAAGGCCUUCGGGUCGUAAAGCUCUGUGGGGAGGGACGAAUUGCCGGGUGAAGAAUCCGGAGUGACGGUACCUCCUUAGCAAGCACCGGCUAACUUCGUGCCAGCAGCCGCGGUAAUAC